CACUCCUGCGGGAGGCAGCAGUGGGGAAUAUUGGACAAUGGGCGAAAGCCUGAUCCAGCAAUGCCGCGUGAGUGAUGAAGGCCUUAGGGUUGUAAAGCUCUUUUACCCGGGAUGAUAAUGACAGUACCGGGAGAAUAAGCCCCGGCUAACUCCGUGCCAGCAGCCGCGGUAAUACGGAGGGGGCUAGCGUUGUUCGGAAUUACUGGGCGUAAAGCGCGCGUAGGCGGCUUUGUAAGUUAGAGGUGAAAGCCCGGAGCUCAACUUCGGAAUUGCCUUUAAGACUGCAUCGCUAGAAUCGUGGAGAGGUGAGUGGAAUUCCGAGUGUAGAGGUGAAAUUCGUAGAUAUUCGGAAGAACACCAGUGGCGAAGGCGACUCACUGGACACGUAUUGACGCUGAGGUGCGAAAGCGUGGGGAGCAAACAGGAUUAGAUACCCCAGUAGUCCCA
rnacentral:rRNA from 1 species